rnacentral:rRNA from 1 species
GACGUAGGAUGCGAGCGUUAUUCGGAAUCACUGGGCGUAAAGGGUGCGUAGGCGGGUUUUUAAGUCAGGGGUGAAAUCCUGGAGCUCAACUCCAGAACUGCCUUUGAUACUGAAGAUCUUGAGUCCGGGAGAGGUGAGUGGAACUGCGAGUGUAGAGGUGAAAUUCGUAGAUAUUCGCAAGAACACCAGUGGCGAAGGCGGCUCACUGGCCCGGUACUGACGCUGAGGCACGAAAGCGUGGGGAGCAAACAGG